CCUACGGGGCGCAGCAGUAGGGAAUCUUCCACAAUGGGCGAAAGCCUGAUGGAGCAACGCCGCGUGGGUGAAGAAGGUCUUCGGAUCGUAAAACCCUGUUGUUAGAGAAGCAAGUGCGUGAGAGUAACUGUUCACGUUUCGACGGUAUCUAACCAGCAAGCCACGGCUAACUACGUGCCAGCAGCCGCGGUAAUACGUAGGUGGCAAGCGUUAUCCGGAUUUAUUGGGCGUAAAGGGAACGCAGGCGGUCUUUUAAGUCUGAUGUGAAAGCCUUCGGCUUAACCGGAGUAGUGCAUUGGAAACUGGGAGACGUGAGUGCAGAAGAGGAGAGUGGAACUCCAUGUGUAGCGGUGAAAUGCGUAGAUAUAUGGAAGAACACCAGUGGCGAAAGCGGCUCUCUGGUCUGUAACUGACGCUGAGGUUCGAAAGCGUGGGUAGCAAACAGGAUUAGAUACCCUGGUAGUC
rnacentral:rRNA from 1 species